GAUGAACGCUGGCGGCGUGCUUAACACAUGCAAGUCGAACGAAGCGCCUUAUUUGAUUUUCUUCGGAACUGAAGAUUUGGUGACUGAGUGGCGGACGGGUGAGUAACGCGUGGGUAACCUACCCUGUACAGGGGGAUAACAAUCAGAAAUGACUGCUAAUACCGCAUAAGACCACAGCACCGCAUGGUGCAGGGGUAAAAACUCCGGUGGUACAGGAUGGACCCGCGUCUGAUUAGCUGGUUGGUGAGGUAACGGCUCACCAAGGCGACGAUCAGUAGCCGGCUUGAGAGAGUGAACGGCCACAUUGGGACUGAGACACGGCCCAAACUCCUACGGGAGGCAGCAGUGGGGAAUAUUGCACAAUGGGGGGAACCCUGAUGCAGCGACGCCGCGUGAGUGAAGAAGUAUCUCGGUAUGUAAAGCUCUAUCAGCAGGGAAGAAAAUGACGGUACCUGACUAAGAAGC
rnacentral:rRNA from 1 species